rnacentral:rRNA from 1 species
GACGAACGCUGGCGGCGUGCCUAAUACAUGCAAGUCGAACGCAUUUUCUUUCACCGUAGCUUGCUACACCGAAAGAAAAUGAGUGGCGAACGGGUGAGUAACACGUUGGUAACCUGCCCAUCAGCGGGGGAUAACACUUGGAAACAGGUGCUAAUACCGCAUAAUUCCAUUUACCGCAUGGUAAGUUGAUGAAAGGCGCUUUUGCGUCACUGAUGGAUGGACCCGCGGUGCAUUAGCUAGUUGGUGGGGUAACGGCCUACCAAGGCUGCGAUGCAUAGCCGACCUGAGAGGGUGAUCGGCCACACUGGGACUGAGACACGGCCCAGACUCCUACGGGAGGCAGCAGUAGGGAAUCUUCGGCAAUGGACGCAAGUCUGACCGAGCAACGCCGCGUGAGUGAAGAAGGUUUUCGGAUCGUAAAACUCUGUUGUUAGAGAAGAACAAGGAUGAGAGUGGAAAGUUCAUCCAUUGACGGUAUCUAACCAGAAAGCCACGGCUAACUACGUG